AGUGAACGCUGGCGGCAUGCCUAAUACAUGCAAGUCGAACGGCCGCACAGUAAGCUUGCGUCUCUGCUGUUAGCGACUGACGGGUGAGUAACGCAUACAUAGCCUACCUAUAAUACUGGGAUAACUUCGUAGAACCGCAUCUGAUACCGGAGCAUAUUUUCAACCGCUGGGUGCAGAAGUUAAUGACGGUCUUCCUGUCACUUAUAGAUGGUGCCGCGCUGCAUUAGCUAGUUGGUAAGGUAACGGCUCACCAAGGCAACGAUGCAUAGCUGACCUGAGAGGGUGAUCGGCCACACUGGAACUGAGACACGGUCCAGACUCCUACGGGAGGCAGCAGUAGGGAAUAUUCGACAAUGGGCGAAAGCCUGAUGCAGCCACGCCGCGUGAGUGAUGAAGGUCUUCGGAUUGUAAAACCCUGUUAUUAGGGAAGAACAGAUGCGGAAGUAAACCCGGCUAUUCUGACGGUACCUAAAGAGAAAGCAACGGCUAACUUCGUG
rnacentral:rRNA from 1 species